GGUCUCCGGUGGUGAACCAGCGGAGGGAUCAUUA
rnacentral:rRNA from 1 species